AACUGAUUAGAAGCUUGCUUCUAUGACGUUAGCGGCGGACGGGUGAGUAACACGUGGGCAACCUGCCUGUAAGACUGGGAUAACUCCGGGAAACCGGAGCUAAUACCGGAUAACAUUUUCUCUUGCAUAAGAGAAAAUUGAAAGAUGGUUUCGGCUAUCACUUACAGAUGGGCCCGCGGUGCAUUAGCUAGUUGGUGAGGUAACGGCUCACCAAGGCAACGAUGCAUAGCCGACCUGAGAGGGUGAUCGGCCACACUGGGACUGAGACACGGCCCAGACUCCUACGGGAGGCAGCAGUAGGGAAUCUUCCGCAAUGGACGAAAGUCUGACGGAGCAACGCCGCGUGAGUGAUGAAGGCUUUCGGGUCGUAAAACUCUGUUGUUAGGGAAGAACAAGUACAAGAGUAACUGCUUGUACCUUGACGGUACCUAACCAGAAAGCCACGGCUAACUACGUGCCAGCAGCCGCGGUAAUACGUAGGUGGCAAGCGUUAUCCGGAAUUAUUGGGCGUAAAGCGCGCGCAGGCGGUUUCUUAAGUCUGAUGUGAAAGCCCACGGCUCAACCGUGGAGGGUCAUUGGAAACUGGGGAACUUGAGUGCAGAAGAGAAAAGCGGAAUUCCACGUGUAGCGGUGAAAUGCGUAGAGAUGUGGAGGAACACCAGUGGCGAAGG
rnacentral:rRNA from 1 species